UACGAAGGGGGCUAGCGUUGUUCGGAAUCACUGGGCGUAAAGCGCACGUAGGCGGAUGUGCCAGUCAGGGGUGAAAUCCCGGAGCUCAACUCCGGAACUGCCUCUGAUACAGCACGUCUUGAGUUCGAGAGAGGUGGGUGGAAUUCCUAGUGUAGAGGUGAAAUUCGUAGAUAUUCGCAGGAACACCAGUGGCGAAGGCGGCUUACUGGUCCGAUACUGAACGCUGAGG
rnacentral:rRNA from 1 species